GAUGAACGCUGGCGGCGUGCCUAAUACAUGCAAGUCGAGCGAAUGGAUUAAGAGCUUGCUCUUAUGAAGUUAGCGGCGGACGGGUGAGUAACACGUGGGUAACCUGCCCAUAAGACUGGGAUAACUCCGGGAAACCGGGGCUAAUACCGGAUAACAUUUUGAACCGCAUGGUUCGAAAUUGAAAGGCGGCUUCGGCUGUCACUUAUGGAUGGACCCGCGUCGCAUUAGCUAGUUGGUGAGGUAACGGCCCACCAAGGCAACGAUGCGUAGCCGACCUGGGAGGGUGAUCGGCCACACGGGGACUGAGACACGGCCCAGACUCCUACGGGAGGCAGCAGUAGGGAAUCUUCCGCAAUGGACGAAAGUCUGACGGAGCAACGCCGCGUGAGUGAUGAAGGCUUUCGGGUCGUAAAACUCUGUUGUUAGGGAAAAACAAGUGCUAGUUGAAUAAGCUGGCACCUUGACGGUACCUAACCAGAAAGCCACGGCUAACUACGUGCCAGCCGCCGCCGUAA
rnacentral:rRNA from 1 species